rnacentral:rRNA from 1 species
GUGGGGAAUAUUGGACAAUGGGCGAAAGCCUGAUCCAGCCAUGCCGCGUGUGUGAAGAAGGCCUUUUGGUUGUAAAGCACUUUAAGCGAGGAGGAGGCUACUUAGAUUAAUACUCUAGGAUAGUGGACGUUACUCGCAGAAUAAGCACCGGCUAACUCUGUGCCAGCAGCCGCGGUAAUACAGAGGGUGCGAGCGUUAAUCGGAUUUACUGGGCGUAAAGCGUGCGUAGGCGGCUUCUUAAGUCGGAUGUGAAAUCCCUGAGCUUAACUUAGGAAUUGCAUUCGAUACUGGGAAGCUAGAGUAUGGGAGAGGAUGGUAGAAUUCCAGGUGUAGCGGUGAAAUGCGUAGAGAUCUGGAGGAAUACCGAUGGCGAAGGCAGCCAUCUGGCCUAAUACUGACGCUGAGGUACGAAAGCAUGGGGAGCAAACAGGAUUAGAAACCCUUGUAGUCC